GCGGCAGUGGCGUAAUGGUAGCCGCGUUAGUCUUAGGAACUAAUGUCGAGAGGCGUGUAGGUUCGAGUCCUAUCUGCCGUA
rnacentral:tRNA from 1 species